rnacentral:lncRNA from 1 species
CUCUUCUCAUUUCCUAUUUAGGAAACUUUUUAAAAACUCAUAUAAUGUGGAGUUCCUUGUGGCACCCAAGGUGUUAACGUCUGCUGGAGUUGACUUGGCGCAGAAAACUGCUGACCCCGAGGAGUUGGAACACCCUGAUGACAAGGUGUUCUUCCAGCUCGGGCACAGGAGAGCCUUGCUGGUGAAACAAGGAGAAACAUCCGGGCACAAUUUGAUAAAGGGCACUAUUCUCUCUGCAACACUGCAGUAUCACACUGUUACAUUUGACAAAUUACAAACUACAACUAACUGACAUGAGAAGAUAAAAAAUGUUGGGGAAGAAGAAACAAAGAAAUAGAAGCGUAUUGUGCCUGUGAGGAAUACUUUUGAGAUCACAUAACAGAAAAGUAUUAUACACAUAGCAACUUUUGUAAUUUCAAGGCUCAAGUCUAAUAACCUUGACAGUCACAACAUGAUUCACUUUCAUCCAGAAGUAAGUUGGAUAUGAAUUGGAGGAGUGGAGGAGAGCAGUCUUUGGAAAUGAGAAGACAAUCUGACACCUGAAUACUGCAAAAUCAGAAACAAUGAAAGAGGAUGUGGACUUCUGGAAUAGAGGGAUGGUUCAAUUAUAUCUUAGGAAAAGAAAUAAGAAUAGUCCAAACUAUGGAGUAUCGUGGCCUGCGGGAGAACAAAGAAAUUGGUGGUGACAUUAGAGCAUGCAUGGACAGAGCCAAGGAUGAAAGGAUCUGAGAGUGAGGAGUAGAGGGGGAUACUGGUGAUGAGAGAUUAAAGUUGGAAAAGUGCAAUUUUUCAUUCGAAAAAUAUGCAGAUUGUAGAGAGGAAAGUGAAAUUUGACCUCAAUUUGUGUUUUGAACUAAAACUGCAGUGUUAUUGUGGAC